CUAGGGAAACGUUUAGGCAGGUGGGAGUCAGUAUGGUUUAAGUCCUGUUUCAGGCCGGUCUAUUUGGUUUAAUGGCUAUGGACGUAUGGGUUUGUGUUUGGGGCUAUGCCUUGUCACUAAUUACUUUAGUUUCAGGUUUGGUGACAUGGUUGGUGGGCCAUUCUUAUAUAUAAGGGGCACAGAUGGGAGCCGCGUUUCGAUUCAAGCGCAACUGGG